UAAUUAUUGGUCUCAUGAGCGAAUAGCUCCUCCCACUGUGAUCAUGGUCGGUUCAGUAACGUCGUCUGCUACGUUUGAGGGAUUGAAACUUGCUGCCGGGCUGUCAGUGAGUAAACUUAAGCCAUGGGGAAAUCAGACUUCCUUACUACUCCGAAGGCAAUCGCAAAUCGUAUCAAAUACAAAGGACUCCAGAAACUGCGAUGGUCUUAUCCAAAGCAGUAUCGUGAUGAGUUGAGGAGAAGAGAUGAAUUUCGCACAGAAUUUUUAGAACUGCUAAAACGUCGGUUUGGAACCAAGAGAGUGCAUAAUAAUAUUGUCUACAAUGAAUAUAUCAGCCACAGGGAACACGUGCACAUAAAUGCCACCCAGUGGGAAACACUGACAGACUUUACCAAAUGGCUUGGCCGAGAAGUUUCUGUAAAGUGGAUGAGACUCCAAAGGGCUGGUACAUUCAGUAUAAAGACAGAGAUCCAGAAACAAUCCGCAAACAGCAGGAAGAGGAAAAAACAAGAUCUGGAUGAUGAAGAGAGAACAGCUAAAUUUAUUGAGCAACAAGUUAAAAAGGGCAUGGAAGGGGCUGAGCAGAACACCCCUACCUACACUGAAUUAAACAGACAGAAUGAGGAAGAGAAAGUUGCAUUUAAUUUAAACAAAGGAGCAAGUACUUCAGGAACAGCUACAUCUAAGUGAAGGUACAUGAGAGAUCCUGCAGAGGUAUACUAAAGAGAUGUCUGUUUUGUCGAUGGAAGAACAAAAGAAGAAGACAGAGUGCACAGAUUAUUGGUUACAGCCAGAUAUUGUCAAAAUUGUAACGAAAAGAUUGGGAGAAAAAUAUUAUAAGAAAAAAAGCUGUAGCAAAGGUAAUGUAUUUUUGUCUUUAACCUAUAUCCUGGCUUUGCAUGUAAUAGUGACAUCAUUGCUGAACCUAAUUUCUUGUAGUGCUCUGAUCUUUCAGGGGUCACAGUUAUAUGUUUUUUUGUGGUGGUUUUGUAAGAUGACUCCCCCAAAUAGGAAGCAGAUGGUUCUUUAAACCUUAUAUAUAAUAUUAAAGAGAGAAUAAUUCUUGUUUAUAAGUAAUGGUAAUUUACUCAGAGGGUAUGGUUUUAUAUAUGCAGAACAUAUUCCUUCUGUAAAUGUUUUGCUUUUGAACAUAUGAGUUACCAUAUUGCAUACCAUGUUGGAGCCUUUGUAUAUAUGCACCAAAAGAACAACACAAUGUGUAGAAUUUUAAAAAAACAAAAGCAUGUCCACUACAUACCACUUUUUCAUAUGGUAUAGGCCUUAAAAUGCAGUUCUGAAGACCAGAAAAAGACGGAGCACAAUUUUAAUUUUUGUAGUAGAUAAAAAGGUGUUACUGGCAUAUUAAUAAAUAAUAAAUUAGACCAACAUCACCUAAAGUGAGCAGCACAGUAGGGCAGUAGAUAGCAUUGCUGCCUGUAGCACUGUGAUUCCUAGGUUCUGAUUCAGCCAGGUGACUAUCUGUAUGGAAUUCUGUAUAUAUUCCAUAUAUAAUUUUAUAUAAUCUGCUUCCCAUCCCCUUUUGGGUUUCUUCCCACUCUAAAAACAUGCAGACAAGUUAGUUGGCUUCUAUGUGCAUUGUAGGGACAGUAGAUUGUAAUUUCCACUGAGGCAAGGACUGAUAUGUUUGAUAAUGUGAAUGUGGACACUUUUUUUUUUUUAAAUACUGCAUACUGUGUUGUUCAUUUGAUGCAUAUAUACAAAAGCUCCAACAUGGUAUGCAAUAUCUGUAUAGUGGCAACACUAUAGAAAUAAUAAUAGGGAAAACUGCUAGCACAGUCCCUACUCUCACUCUCACAACAGACCUGAACAUCAAUUGCCUCUCUACAAAUAGCAUUACUAUGUAAAACUGUAUAAAUGAAUGACCCUCACUGUAAUAGUGUGGGGAGUGUAAUGUUGAUAAAUUGCACACUCUUUGUUCCUGUGAUUAACUGUGCAUCUAGAACACAGCUUUUAUAGCCCAGAUGUAGCUAUUAAUUCAAAGCCAGUGUUUGGAGACUGUAGUGACAUAGUUAGAGCUGUCAAGGUUUGACAAAGUAUGAAAUCUGAUGCUUGCAGACUCUAACUUCAAUCCCACAAGUAUAUUUAAUGAGUUUUAAACACAAAUUGGAAAUUUGGAAACACACUCUAUCUGUGAUUCCAUGUUCAUCCCCAUAAUAUGGCUGGGUCUCAAGACCAACCUGUUUCUAUUGCAUAUGUUUUGGCUUUCAAAGUACUGGUGUUUGCUUGUGUCUUCAGUAUCACUUCUUCCCUUCCCAAUCCCACCGUUUAAAAGUAUAUGCUUCACAAUACAAUAAUUUUAUAUAUUAGAAUGUAAUUGGCAUUUCAACACAUUGUAUUUUCCUUUGAAAAAGUUGAAAAUACCUCCUUGACCUAAAAUGUAUUUAUUUGCAUUAUGCUUUAACAGUUUAAUUACCCCAAAAGGCAGAAUCAAACAGUUCUCAAGUGUCAUGCAUGUUGAGCCUGUCUGCUACCACUAAAAUACUCAAUGUGUGACAUGAGCCUUUUGCUAACCACAAAUAUAUUUGAAGGAAUGUGUAUUUAUUAGUCAUAAAUAUACAUAUACAUGUUGGCUUACUAAAUGUGUUCUACAACUAAAACAAAUUAAUUGUUUGUUCUUGUAGGAAAUGAUUGACACAUACACAGCAGUUGUGAAACUUGUUGAUUCUGGAGAUAAAUUAAAGCUGCAUCAGACCCAUUUAGAGACAGUUGCACCAGGUAAAGCACUUGCUUACCCUGGAAAUAAAUAUAACAAGAUCAGCUAGGAACUUGUGUUAUUAAGCUUACACGCAUACACUUGUAGUAUUUAAGUAUUUAAAUACUCAGAAAAACACAUGAUUAAAACCACAGACGGGAUAACAUUUGUAUAUAAAAGGGGAUAAAAUUAUUUUACUGCAAUCUACAUUACAGUUAUGUGCGUAACAGCAAUAAUACAGUAUUUUUAAAAGUUAAUACAACCAAAAAUAUUCUUUUCCCAGGAAAGAAAGUUUGUGUUUUAAAUGGUGGUUACAAAGGAAAUUUUGGCAUCCUAGAUUGCAUCAUUAAGAAGAGCUUUUCUGCUACAAUAGACAUUGGGGCACAUUUACUAUGGGUCGAAUAUCGAGGGUUAAUUAACCCUCAAUAUUCGACCAUCGAA